AAACUUUCAACAACGGAUCUCUUGGUUCUGGCAUCGAUGAAGAACGCAGCGAAAUGCGAUAAGUAAUGUGAAUUGCAGAAUUCAGUGAAUCAUCGAAUCUUUGAACGCACAUUGCGCCCUUUGGUAUUCCGAAGGGCAUGCCUGUUCGAGCGUCAUUACA
rnacentral:rRNA from 1 species